AACGAACGCUGGCGGCAGGCCUAACACAUGCAAGUCGAGGCUCUCUUCGGAGGGAGCGGCGGACGGGUGAGUACACGCGUGGGAAUAUGCCCUUCUCUGCGGAAUAGCCACUGGAAACGGUGAGUAAUACCGCAUACGCCCUUCGGGGGAAAGAUUUAUCGGAGAAGGAUUAGCCCGCGUUAGAUUAGGUAGUUGGUGGGGUAAUGGCCUACCAAGCCUACGAUCUAUAGCUGGUUUUAGAGGAUGAUCAGCCACACUGGGACUGAGACACGGCCCAGACUCCUACGGGAGGCAGCAGUGAGGAAUCUUAGACAAUGGGCGCAAGCCUGAUCUAGCCAUGCCGCGUGUGUGAUGAAGGCCUUAGGGUCGUAAAGCACUUUCGCCAGAGAUGAUAAUGACAGUAUCUGGUAAAGAAACCCCGGCUAACUCCGUGCCAGCAGCCGCGGUAAUACGGAGGGGGUUAGCGUUGUUCGGAAUUACUGGGCGUAAAGCGCACGUAGGCGGAUCAGAAAGUUGGGGGUGAAAUCCCGGGGCUCAACCCCGGAACUGCCUCCAAAACUCCUGGUCUUGAGUUCGAGAGAGGUGAGUGGAAUUCCGAGUGUAGAGGUGAAAUUCGUAGAUAUUCGGAGGAACACCAGUGGCGAAGGCGGCUCACUGGCUCGAUACUGACGCUG
rnacentral:rRNA from 1 species